CAAAUCAAUCUUUUUCCAGGUUGACCUCGGAUCAGGUAGGGAUACCCGCUGAACUUAAGCAUAUCAAUAAGCGGAGGAAAAGAAACCAACCGGGAUUGCCUCAGUAACGGCGAGUGAAGCGGCAAGAGCUCAAAUUUGAAAGCUGGCUCCUUCGGGGUCCGCAUUGUAAUUUGCAGAGGAUGCUUCGGGUGCGGCCCCUGUCUAAGUGCCCUGGAACGGGCCGUCAGAGAGGGUGAGAAUCCCGUCUGGGAUGGGGUGUCCGCGCCCGUGUGAAGCUCCUUCGACGAGUCGAGUUGUUUGGGAAUGCAGCUCUAAAUGGGUGGUAAAUUUCAUCUAAAGCUAAAUACUGGCCGGAGACCGAUAGCGCACAAGUAGAGUGAUCGAAAGAUGAAAAGCACUUUGAAAAGAGAGUUAAAAAGCACGUGAAAUUGUUGAAAGGGAAGCGCUUGCGACCAGACUCGCCUCCAGGGUUCAGCCGGCAUUCGUGCCGGUGUACUUCCCUGGGGGCGGGCCAGCGUCGGUUUGGGCGGCCGGUCAAAGGCUCCCGGAAUGUAGUGCCCUCCGGGGCACCUUAUAGCCGGGAGUGCAAUGCGGCCAGCCUGGACCGAGGAACGCGCUCGGCACGGACGCUGCAUA
rnacentral:rRNA from 1 species